rnacentral:rRNA from 1 species
UGGGGAAUUUUGGACAAUGGGCGAAAGCCUGAUCCAGCAAUGCCGCGUGUGUGAAGAAGGCCUUCGGGUUGUAAAGCACUUUUGUCCGGAAAGAAAUCCUUGGCUCUAAUACAGUCGGGGGAUGACGGUACCGGAAGAAUAAGCACCGGCUAACUACGUGCCAGCAGCCGCGGUAAUACGUAGGGUGCAAGCGUUAAUCGGAAUUACUGGGCGUAAAGCGUGCGCAGGCGGUUUGCUAAGACCGAUGUGAAAUCCCCGGGCUCAACCUGGGAACUGCAUUGGUGACUGGCAGGCUAGAGUAUGGCAGAGAGGGGUAGAAUUCCACGUGUAGCAGUGAAAUGCGUAGAGAUGUGGAGGAAUACCGAUGGCGAAGGCAGCCCCCUGGGCCAAUACUGACGCUCAUGCACGAAAGCGUGGGGAGCAAACAGGAUUAGAUACCCUGGUAGUCCACGCCCUAAAACGAUGUCAACUAGUUGUUGGGGAUUCAUUUUCCUUAGUAACGUAGCUAACGCGUGAAGUUGACCGCCUGGGGAGUACGGUCGCAAAGAUUAAAACUCAAAGGAAUUGACGGGGUCAUAGCUGUUUCCU